NNNNNNNNNNNNNNNNNNNNNNNNNNNUCGCUAUGCCUACCUUCAUGCCUCCAGCUUCCACCCCGGACACACCACACGAUCCAUCGUCUACAGCCAAGCACUGAGGUACAACCGCAUCUGCUCCAACCCCUCAGACAGAGACCAACACCUACAAGAUCUUCACCAAGCAUUCUCAAAACUACGAUACCCACACAAGGAAAUAGAGAAACAAAUCAACAGAGCCAGACGUGUACCCAGAAGCCUUCUGCUACAAGACAGGCCCAAAAAAGAAACCAACAGAACUCCACUGGCCAUCACCUACAGUCCUCAGCUUAAACCUCUCCAACGCAUCAUCAGUGAUUUACAACCCAUCCUGGACAAUGAUCCCUCACUUUCACAGACCUUGGGAGGCAGGCCAGUCCUCGCCCACAGACAACCUGCCAACCUUAAGCAUAUUCUCACCAGCAACCAUGCACCGCACCAUAACAACUCUAACUCAGGAACCAACCCAUGCAACAAACGUCAAUGCCAACUCUGCCCACAUAUCUACGCCAGCAACACCAUCACAGGACCUAACCAGAUCAGCUACAACAUCACCGGCUCAUUCACCUGCACGUCCACCAAUGUUAUAUAUGCCAUCAUGUGCCAGCAAUGCCCCUCUAUGUACAUUGGCCAAACUGGACAGUCACUACGCAAGAGGAUAAAUGGACACAAGUCAGAUAUCAGGAAUGGCAAUAUACAAAAACCUGUAGGAGAACACUUCAACCUCCCUGGCCACACAAUAGCAGAUGUAAAGGUUGCCAUCUUACAGCAAAAAAACUUCAGGACCAGACUCCAAAGAGAAACUGCUGAGCUCCAGUUCAUUUGCAAAUUUUACACCAUCAGAUCAGGAUUAAACAAAGACUGAAUGGCUAUCCAACUACAGAAACAGUUUCUCCUCCCUUGGUAUUCACACCUCAACUGCUAGCAGAGCACCUCACCCUCCCUGAUUGAACUAACCUCGUUAUCUCCAUACUGAUUUAUACCUGCCUCUGGAGAUUUCCAUUACUUGCAUCUGAAGAAGUGAGGUUCUUACCCACGAAAGCUUAUGCUC
rnacentral:lncRNA from 1 species